rnacentral:misc_RNA from 1 species
GGUAGAAAAUGAAGUGGAUAGGAUGGUGGAACAACAAUUGUCUAAAAUGAAGUUGAAACAAAACAAGAGGAUGAAGGAAGAUCGACAGCCUACGAAAGAGGAAAAGCUUCUUCAAUUGAGGUUGGAGAGGGUAGAAAAUGAGGUGGAUAGGAUGGUGGAGCAACAAUGGUCUAAAUUAAUGCUGAAACGAAACAAAGGGAUGAAGGAAGAUGAACCGUCUACGGAAGAGGAAAAGCUUCUUCAGUUGAGGUUGGAUACGGUAGAAAAUGAAGUGGAUGAGAUGGUGGAAGAGCAGUUGUCUGAAUUGAUGAUGAAAAAAAGGAAAAGGAUGAAGGAAGAAGAAUUGUCUAAAUUUGAGUUUGUAAAAAUGGAGGAGGAAAAGCUUCCUCAAUUGAGGUUGGAGGGCAUAGAAAAUAAAGUGGAUAGGACGGAGGAAGAACAAUCGUUUAACUUAGAGUUGAAACAGCAGAAAUGGAUGGAGGAAGUCCAAUCGUUUAAAUUGGAGUUGAAACAGGAGAAAUGGAGGGAGGAAGUCCAAUCAUUUAAAUUGGAGUUGAAACAAAAGAAAUGGAUGGAGGAAGUCCAAUCGUUUAAAUUGGAGUUGAAACAGGAGAAAUGGAGGGAGGAAGUCCAAUCAUUUAAAUUGGAGUUGAAACAAA